CCUACGGGUGGCAGCAGUGAGGAAUAUUGGUCAAUGGACGAGAGUCUGAACCAGCCAAGUAGCGUGAAGGAUGACUGCCCUAUGGGUUGUAAACUUCUUUUAUAUGGGAAUAAAAUGUUCCACGUGUGGGAUUUUGUCUGUACCAUAUGAAUAAGGAUCGGCUAACUCCUUGCCAGAAGCCUCGGUAAUACGGCGGCUCCGAGCGUUAUCCGGAUUUCUUGGGUUUAAAGGGAGCGUAGGUGGAUUGUUAAGACAGUUGUGAAAGGUUGCGGCUCAACCGUAAAAUUGCAGUUGAAACUGGCAGUCUUGAGUACAGUAGUGGUGGGCGGAAUUCGUGGUGUAGCGGUGAAAUGCUUAGAUAUCACGAAGAACUCCGAUUGCGAAGGCAGCUCACUGGACUGCAACUGACACUGAGGCUCGAAAGUGUGGGUAUCAAACAGGAUUAGAUACCCCGGUAGUC
rnacentral:rRNA from 1 species